CCCUCUUAUCAUCCUCUUCUCUCCCUGUUUCUCUCUCUCUCUCUUCCCGCCUUCACGCAGGCGGCACUGUUGGAGGGAUUCAAAGAGCUCAGGGAUCAGAGAAUAUGGGGUUAAUUUGGAGAUGAUAAUAAUAUAUGGCAGGAAGCUUUGUGUUUUGAGGGGAAUGUUGUCUGGCUCGAGGACCCUUCUUCUUGAUCCGCUCUCUCUCCAUCUGUCGCUCAUGUUUGGAGAUUGUGGUCAGAGGUUCAAGUGUCGUCGGACCAGGCUUCAUUCCCCCCAAUUUUUUGCUUCCGCAGAAUUGUACGCUCAGAUCUCUGUCUGCUUCGGAAGGUGAAGAGUAUACGAGAAACCAUCACAGAUGUGGUGCCUACUAAUCAAAGCUUGCUAGUUUGUGCUAUUCUCCUAGAUACAGUUUGCAUCUACGGGAAUUGAAUCAAUGAUUAAUGUAAUUAUAAGGGGGGUCACCUUUUUUCAAUUUCUUUAUUGUUUUAUCUUUCUUGCUUGGCAACACAAGGAAUCGGAAAUUUGAAGGGUGAAGAGACAGCAAAAAAUUAAUUCCAAGAGGGCAGCAUGUGCAGAAUGCUAGGCAAAGCACAAGAGUCAGCAGCUAGGUAGAGGCAUGUAGGGGAACACAAGAGGAAUGAUAUGCACGGUGUUCACUCACUGAACCGGGUCAUAUCAGAUCACUAUUUUCUUAGAAAGAAAGAAGGAAAACUCUGUAGGCUCUUUUGUUAUUCUCUGAUCUCGAGAUACGAGACACGUGAUUAUGUAUGAGUAAAGGAUCCAAUUUGACUCAUUUGUUUCUUCAUUGAUUGCACACUUGGAUGUGGUUUCAGUUCACACUGAAAACGAUCACAAGCUUUAAAAGCAAGUCAUGUGUAUGGAUUUUUCUGCGGUAUUCAACGUUGAUUAGCAAUAAAAGAGGCUUAUAUUUAUUUCCGUCGUGAA